UACUUUUAUUCAUGGACAACUGAGUAAAUGUGAAAAUAAUAUGCAUGUUCAUUCAAUUUAUUGAUGAUCUAUGUAUUUAUGUUGGGGAGUAAUGUGAUAGCAAAUAGUAAUAGAAGAUAAGAAAUAAGACAAAAUCAUAUUCAUACAGUUUACAGCAUUCUCAUAUAUUUCAAUAACCAUUCUUUCAGUAUACUUUCUUUUGUAUGCAAAAUGUUUUCAUUGUGCAUCUAAAUGUCCCAGCAGCCUCUGCCAUUACAAGCUCUCCUUUAAAUCAGUCUCAAACAUCAGAUCUUACAACAGCCUCUGCCACUGCAAGCUCUCCUUCACCUCAGUCUCAAACAUCAGAUACUACAAAUUCAUCAUCACUCCCUUUCACUUCAAGUAUUUCUUCAGAUGAUUCUCGCACAUCUCCCCAAACACCUCAUACAA